AUCCAACUGAUGAGUCCCAAAUAGGACGAAAUGUGCCCUGAAU
rnacentral:hammerhead_ribozyme from 1 species